rnacentral:rRNA from 1 species
UGGAGGCUGGUAUGAUGGAUAAACGAGGGACCAGCUGUCUCACACAAGCCCCUAAAAAUUAACCUCUAGGUGAAGAGGCCUAGAUCACACUAAAAGACAAGAAGACCCUAUAGAGUUUUACUUAUACGUACUAGCCUAGAAUAAAUAAAUCUAGGUGGAAACUUAAAAGUUUGGUUGGGGCGACCAAGGAAUAAACCCACCUUCCUGAAAAAACCGAACUAAAUCUCUCUCCAGAUCCUUAAAAAAGAUAAAAAAAACAACACUACCUUAGGGAUAACAGGCCAAUCUCCCCAGAGAGCCCAAAUUGACGGGGAGGGUUGGCACCUCGAUGUUGGCUUAAGACAACUCCUAAAUGCAGCAGUUUAGAUAAGUUGGUUUGUUCAACCAUUAAAGUCUUACGUG